CGCGAUUUUUCCUGAAGCAAUUCGUGACUUUCCUUCACCAAAUCGGCGUGAAACCUUCAUCAACUCUUUCUCAUGGUUAAGGAGAUACUCUCUUACUAUCCAUCCAAUUAUAAGCAGUCUGCAGUUAUUCCUCUUCUAGAUCUUGCACAACAGCAGCAUGGAGGCUGGCUCCCUGUUUCUGCUAUGAAUGUGGUGUUUUAAGGAUCAUUCUCUGUUAACAAACUCCAUUACUUUUCCUGCGUUAA